rnacentral:rRNA from 1 species
UACGUAGGGUGCAAGCGUUAAUCGGAAUUACUGGGCGUAAAGCGUGCGCAGGCGGUUUUGUAAGACGGGUGUGAAAUCCCCGGGCUCAACCUGGGAACUGCAUUCGUGACUGCAAGGCUAGAGUGCGUCAGAGGGAGGUGGAAUUCCGCGUGUAGCAGUGAAAUGCGUAGAGAUGCGGAGGAACACCGAUGGCGAAGGCAGCCUCCUGGGAUGACACUGACGCUCAUGCACGAAAGCGUGGGGAGCAAACAGG